rnacentral:rRNA from 1 species
UGGGGAAUUUUACACAAUGGGCGAAAGCCUGAUGUAGCAACGCCGCGUGGAGGAUGACGGAUCUAGGUCUGUAAACUCCUUUUAUAAGGGAAGAAAUUUGACGGUACCUUAUGAAUAAGCACCGGCUAACUCCGUGCCAGCAGCCGCGGUAAUACGGGGGGUGCAAGCGUUACUCGGAAUCACUGGGCGUAAAGGGAGCGUAGGCGUUUUAUUAAGUCUUGAGUGAAAGCUCGCAGCUCAACUGCGGAACUGCUCAGGAAACUGAUAGAAUUGAGUAUGGAAGAGGUAGGUGGAAUUUCCGGUGUAGGGGGUAAAAAUUCCGUAGAUAUCGGAAGGAAUACCAGAAGCGAAGGCGACCUACUGGGACAUUACUGACGCUGAGGCUCGAAAGCGUGGGGAGCAAACAGGAUUAGAUACCCUGGUAGUCCACGCCCUAAACGAUGAACACUAGUCGUUACGGAGCUAGUCUCUGUAGUGACGCAGCUAACGCAUUAAGUGUUCCGCCUGGGGAGUACGGUCGCAAGAUUAAAAACUCAAAUGAAUUGACGGGGUCAUAGCUGUUUCCU